UGGAGGUCAGUAAAGGCGUGGCUGCGCGUUCGCUUGAAGACGCGGAAGCGGCUCCUUCGCGAGCGCCUGUCAUCUUUGUUAUUAGCUAUUUUUGGCCCUUGCUAAUCUUAGAAGUUUGUAACAGUUUCUUUUCUUCGGGAUGGCGCUCCCAUCGCAGCUGAAACCGAUCCAGCACCAUUUAAGAACAGCGCAGGAACAUGAGAAAAGAGAUCCGGUGGUCGCUUAUUAUUGUCGACUUUACGCCAUGCAGACAGGAAUGAAACUAGAUAG